rnacentral:rRNA from 1 species
AUGAACGCUGGCGGCGUGCCUAAUACCUGCAAGUCGAGCGAACAGACGAGGAGCUUGCUCCUCUGACGUUAGCGGCGGACGGGUGAGUAUCACGUGGAUAACCUACCUAUAAGACUGGGAUAACUUCGGGAAACCGGAGCUAAUACCGGAUAAUAUAUUGAACCGCAUGGUUCAAUAGUGAAAGACGGUUUUGCUGUCACUUAUAGAUGGAUCCGCGCCGCAUUAGCUAGUUGGUAAGGUAACGGCUUACCAAGGCAACGAUGCGUAGCCGACCUGAGAGGGUGAUCGGCCACACUGGAACUGAGACACGGUCCAGACUCCUACGGGAGGCAGCAGUAGGGAAUCUUCCGCAAUGGGCGAAAGCCUGACGGAGCAACGCCGCGUGAGUGAUGAAGGUCUUCGGAUCGUAAAACUCUGUUAUUAGGGAAGAACAAAUGUGUAAGUAACUAUGCACGUCUUGACGGUACCUAAUCAGAAAGCCACGGCUAACUACGUG